AUGAAGAACGUAGCGAAAUGCGAUACGUAAUGUGAAUUGCAAAUUCAGUGAAUCAUCGAGUCUUUGAACGCUCAUUGCGCCCCCUGGUAUUCCGGGGGGCAUGCCUGUCCGAGCGUCAUUGCUGCCCUCAAGCACGGCUUGUGUGUUGGGCCCCGUCCUCCGAUCCCGGGGGACGGGCCCGAAAGGCAGCGGCGGCACCGCGUCCGGUCCUCGAGCGUAUGGGGCUUUGUCACCCGCUCUGUAGGCCCGGCCGGCGCUUGCCGAUCAACCCAAAUUUUUAUCCAGGUUGACCUCGGAUCAGGUAGGGAUACCCGCUGAACUUAAGCAUAUCAAUAAGCGGAGGA
rnacentral:misc_RNA from 1 species